ACUUUCGCUUGCUGCCGGGAGAGGAGUGGGUGUGCUUUCCAAGCCGGGCGCCUUCAUCAAGUAAGGCUUUCGGUUUCGGAAACUCUCUCACUCUCUCUCUCUCUCCCUCUCUAUCGCUCUUUCGCUCUCUCUCCCUCAUUCCAUUUGGUUUAUUAUACUUACUCCCGAUUAGAUUGUAUUGUAUCGUGUCAUCUUGCAUCUCAACAUCAUAGUUAGUAAAAUAAGUUCUCCUUCUUAGAUUGUUGCCACCGCUUCGUUUUUCUCGGGAAGUGAAGGGGGAGGGGGGCCCACAAGCCUACCGGCCCCCUGUCACGGGCACAGAUCUAUCUAGGUAACUCCGUGACAAUUUUGGUGGAGAAUGCGGGCAAGAUUCAUCUGAAGCUUUAACGUUAGUAAGAAAAAAAGGAUUUCGUUAGGCCAGACUGUGAGACUACAAAGCAUUGCUGGUGCUGGUGUGACCUUCAUAGAUUAGAUUAUAGCCUGGGCAGUCCGCCAAACUCCAGACACUGUACCGAGUGGUUCCCGUUUGUUUUUUUUUUUUUUUUCCCUCCUUCUCUUUAUUCCCCCUUACGUUAGCAGUUAUCAACUAUGAGGUUGCUCUGUAUUGUCAAAGCACUGUAUAAGGGAUUAAAAGCUAUCAUGUUCCUUGCCAGUUACCGGUCUAUAAUUAACCUCUUCAUGUCUUGCUGUGGAGUUGUAUUCAUAUACAACCAAGUGAGGGCCCUGAUAGAGGCACCUGCCUGGUGGCUUUAUGCAAUGUGGUAUAAUUUGAAUUUUGAGACCUUCGAACCGGUUUCUAGGCUUCCCUCCCAGUUUGUUGAACGUUUUUCGAACACCGAGUCAGUGCUCAUAUUUUCGUGCAUAUUAUCGAUAUCUUUGAAUAUAUUCCUCUUCAUUCGUGCUAAGUGGAAGGAGCCUCCUCCAAGACCAGAGAAUGAUGACUGGCAAGGAAUAUGGAAAGGUUUAAGAAGAAUCUUAGAACCGUGGGGACCCGCCGUGCCAUGGGAUUUCACCCCUGAACAUCUGUGGGAUCCCGAGAAACUGAGCCAGCAUUUGAGUCAGGGGCAGUGCGGCUUAGAUAGAUCAAAGGAGGCACGACUCAUCUGGGGCUUGGCUUGUGCCUACCGCGCCCUGUAUAGUACUGUUCUGGAGAGAGACAGUUUCCGAGCGGAGGUGCAAGCCGAAGGGGGAAAUCUCCAAGUCAGACCUGAUCAGUCACAACAGACACCAGUAACAGUGUCAGUAGCCCCUGUAGAAGGCAAGAAAUGGAAGCGGGUGUCCUCACGUCUAGAGCGAAAAAAGGAAGAAGAAGAAGAAGGAGAGGAAGUGGAAGAGGAGGUGGUAGAGGAAGAUCCAGGUGAGGGGACUUCCUCAGAACCAAGAAAAGCAAAAGCAAAAACUAAGAGGCACGAAGAGGACAGCGAUGAAGAGGAGAUCUCUAUUACUGUUCGUCGACCUCUCAAGAUGUCUGAGAUCAUAAGCUCAAGAAAGGAAUUUGAACGACGCCCGAAUGAAACUGUUGUCACCUGGUUGCUUCGUUGUUGGGAUAGUGGGGCCAGUAGCUUGUCUCUAGAUGGUAAUGAAGCACGCCAAUUAGGAGACAUUGCCGGAGACAAAUCCAUCGACAGAGCAAUUAGUAGAUGUUUGGAUGAAGCUGCAACCCUCUGGGACCGAAUACUAAUAGCUGUGAAGGAAAGGUAUCCCUACAAAGAACUUCUGCAGCCUGCAAAGAAAACGUGGAAUACAAUUGAGAGAGGUAUCCAGUAUUUGAGGGAAAUAGCCCUGGUGGAAAUGCUCUAUGAGUCUAAUUUUGUUCCUAACGAUCCACGCCAAAACCAUGA
ensembl:lncRNA